GGCAACAGGAUUUUAUAUGCUUUUGUUCAGAAAACGAGGGUUCUGUGUCAACUGUGUGUAUGAAUUCAAGUUGACAGUGCAGAGUUGAAAGGGACCUAAGAUAACCUUUAGUCCAGCUCACUUUGCAGAGGGAAACCUGAGAUCCAGAGAGCUUACUCUUACUCACAGAGUCAGUGGUAUCAGCUACAGGCACUGAAAACAAACUUUCACUAAACAUACACACGAAUCAAGAGCAGCUCAGAAAUCUUUGAAGACCUUAGGCUACCGGCUCUUUAGGGCUUCCAACCUUACACAACCCAGCUAUUCCCCCGAAGUGGCACCCUCCCUGCAAGAAUCGCUAUGGCUUUUUUAUGCCUCUGGUGACUUUAAAGAAAAAUAACCUCUUCACUAAAUGCAGGAGCUAACUUGGCAAAUAAAACUCAGGCCCUGAAAGCCAGAAGCUGGAAAAAUGGAUUUCAAUCUACACAAAUUUGAUGGCAAUAGGUCAAGUUUCAGGAAUGAUUCUUAUGCAAAUGAGUUAAACAGCUAAUUGGAAGGAUGACAGGAAACCUUGUUCUCCCAGUGAUGAGUAUGAGAAAGAUGAUGAUACAUUUAACCUAUGAUUCAGCUGUCCUCCCUUAGGACCAGAAUUCUUUAAUAGUGCAAAGCAAACAUCUUGAGGGUCCCAGAAGAUUAAUAUCUAAAUAAAUGGCCUUCUAGAAGCUGUGAGUAGUAGAAAGAAGCCAGGAAAGUCAAAUUUAUCAUAAGCAAGUCCAAGUGACUAUAUUAACCAAAAUUGCAUUUCAGCUCUUAUAUACAAAUCAGCUGCCACACUUGGAGAUCUGUAGAUGAGAAAAAGAAAGUAAAGCAAGGGUAAAAACUGACGUUGUUACUCAGGAUUUUAGAACAACUCUGUUCUGAAGGAGAAAAGACAAAAGGCCCUAAGAGAUCUAAGAGAAUUUCAAGGCACAUUGGUUUACUUAAAUCACCGAUUGCACUCCCAAAAGCAUAGCCUCUUUCUGAAAGGUAUUUCAAGUUCUGAGAAGCACAAGCCUUUAACACACAGGACACUCAGGGCUAAAGCCACGCACGUCUGAUCAAUCUGGAGCUUCAUUUCAAAGCUCCAGGAAAUGCUCCACUGCAGAGCCACCUGCACGCAUGACCCAGCCAUCUGCCUCUCAGUGAAUUUCAUUUGACAAAAGAACCAUGCAAUUUAGUGUCAUCAUUCACUUACUUGAUGGUCAUUUUCUGACGUAUGAAUUGUGUCUGAGGAAAGCAGUUUAGCAUCCUGCAAUCCAACAUUCCUCUGGUCUCAGACUGCUUGGAGUCAAAUCUCAUUGCCUCCCCCCACACUCCCAUUUACUGCUUGCAUGACGUUGAGCAAGUAACGUAACCUCUCUCGACCUCAAUUUUCCCCAUCUGUAAAAUGGAAGUAAUAACAGCACCUACCUCAUGAGGUGGUCGUGAGGAUUAACAGAGUUCAAGCUCAUAAAGUGCUCAGUGCAGUGUCAGGGGCAUGCCCCGGAUUAUGCGUUUCAGGCGUAUGGAAGGAAGGACCGACACUCUGCUUCAAAACCUCUACAUGCCUCAACGUUCCCAUUUGCUUUACACGACAAAGUCCUCAUGGGCCGUAUGCCAGACGUCCUGCACACAAACCUCAAUCCGUCGCAGAGAGCUGGGGGCGUCAGCUGGAAGUGGAUUACACUCUCCUUGGCACAAACGACUCAGGCCACAGGCAGCCGGUGGCCUUCCCCUGUUAACUAUGGAGACAAUCCCUAGGCGUCCUUCUCCGCCCAGAGCUAGAAAAAUUUCAGAGUCCUGAUCAUGCACUAUCGCUCGAAAACAACUUCCGUGAAAAUAACUUUUUUUUUCUCCUAGUAUUCUUUCUUAGACCAAAAGCCCAGCCUUCGUGUUCUGCUAUGACCUCUUUAGUCAUGGGAUAGAGUCCGGGUUACAAACUUGAAUUUAGUUCCAGCCAUUCACAAGUCUCUGGGCUCCGCCAACCCACACUCCCACUCCUUUCCUCCUGGUUCUCUAAGUCAAGGGAGCCUAAAAGGCUUAUAAAUUAUCAAAGCACCCAGCAUUUGGGAGGAUCGGGUCCUCCAGCCUCCGAGCUGCACUCACCGGGUCUCGGGCAGGGAGAGUGCGGCCGUCCAGGCGGCGUCGGCAGCGGGAGGCGCAGUGACAGCGGGUCCCCGCUUCCCCGCGCACUGCCCAGACCAGCACUGCCCUGGCGCUGCGGAUACGGGAAGGAGGAGGAAGGGGGAGGAGUCGCGAGUCUGCACCCCGUGAGACCCUUGCGCAAGGUGCUUUCCAGCUGUGCCUGGUGCAGCCGGCGACCCGCGAGCGCAGCUGUGGGCACGCCCCCACCUCUUCCCACGCCAGAGUUUUCCCCUCUGCUGGGGGCACCCUCCAUUUCUGCAUGGGAAUCCCCGGGGCACCCAGGCGGGACGCGACCCGAAAGACACGCCGGAGACCCCCAACCCUGGAUUACCUGCGGCCUUGGCGCUCCCACGCCGGCCGAGCGCUCCAGCCGCGGCCCCCCGAAGGUUCGGUGCGAUGCUG
rnacentral:lncRNA from 10 species